rnacentral:piRNA from 1 species
UCCUGCUGUUACAAGGAUGUUUCAUAUGUC